rnacentral:rRNA from 1 species
UAAAAUAAUUAAGGGCACAUAGGGAAUGCCUAGGUAGUAAGAGCCGAUGAAGGACGUGGUAAGCUGCGAUAAGCUCAGGGUAGUUGCAAUCGAACGUUGAUCCUGAGAUUUCCGAAUGGAGCAAUCCGCUAAGUUGAAGACUUAGCACGAAAGAGGGUACCGCGUGAACUGAAACAUCUAAGUAACGCGAGGAAAAGAAAGUAAAAACGAUUCCCCAAGUAGCGGCGAGCGAACGGGGAUGAGCCCAAACCGCAUAAAUGCCAAGGAUGCAGCCGUUGUUUAUGCGGGGUUGUGGGAAGAACCACGAGGAACUGCAACGUACUCAACAAUGUUAAUGACUGAACUGGAACUAGUUGGAAAGCUAGAUCGUAGAAGGUGAUAAUCCUGUACAGGUAAACUCAUUAACUUGUCCGUUCUCUCCCAAGUAACAUGGAACACGAGGAAUUCUGUGUGAAUCUGCGAGGACCAUAUCUCGUAAGGCUAAAUACUCUUACUAACCGAUAGCGUAUAGUACCGUGAGGGAAAGGUGAAAAGAACCCCGGGAGGGGAGUGAAAUAGAACCUGAAACUAUGUGCUUACAAGCGGUCAGAGCCCGCAAGGGUGAUGGCGUGCCUUUUGGAGAAUGAUCCUGCGAGUUACGUUCAGUGGCAAGGUUAAGUUUAACGGAGCCGAAGGGAAACCGAGUCUGAACAGGGCGAUUUUAGUCGCUGGGCGUAGACGCGAAACCUGGUGAUCUAAGCCUGUCCAGGGUGAAGCUGUGGUAAGACACAGUGGAGGCCCGAACUCACCGCCGUUGAAAAGUUGGGAGAUGAGGUAGGUUUAGGGGUGAAAAGCCAAUCGAACUAGGAGAUAGCUCGUUCUCUCCGAAAUGCAUUUAGGUGCAGCCUUGAGUGUUUAAUUAUGGGGGUAGAGCACUGAAUGGACUAGGGGGCGCAUUGCUUACUGAAUCCAAUCAAACUCCGAAUACCAUAAUUCAAGAGCUCAGGAGUGAGACUAUGGGAAUUAACUUCCAUUGUCAAAAGGGAAACAACCCAGACCACCAGCUAAGGUCCCUAAUCAUAACUAAGUGGGAAAGGAGGUGGAGAUUCAUAAACAACCAGGAGGUUGGCUUAGAAGCAGCCAUACCUUUAAAGAGUGCGUAAUAGCUCACUGGUCGAGAGUCUCUGCGCCGACAAUGUAACGGGGCUAAGUUAUGAACCGAAGCUGUGGAAUUGCGCAAGCAAUUGGUAGGAGAGCGUUCUGUAGGCCGUUGAAGGAGAAGCGUAAGCAACUCUGGAGGUAUCAGAAGUGAGAAUGCAGGAAUAAGUAGCGAGAAGGGAGGCGAGAAUCCUCCCCGCCGGAAGACCAAGGUUUUCAGGGUAAAGCUUGUCUUCCCUGAGUAAGCCGGGACCUAAGCCGAGGCUAUAGUGCGUAGGCGAAUGGAAAACAGAUUAAUAUUUCUGUGCCAGUCAUAUUUUGUGAUGGAGGGACGUAGAAGGGUAUGUACGCGGAAGAACGGUAGUUUCCGUAAAAGCAUGUAGAAUGACUUGAUAGGUAAAUCCGUCAAGUUAGAUUUGAGGUGUGAUAUAUAGUCGUAAGAUGAAUGUACAAAUCCCACGCUGCCGAGAAAAGCUUCUAACGUUAAGGUAUGACUGCCCGUACCCGAAACCGACACAGGUGGUCAGGAUGAGAAAUCUAAGGCGGACAGGCUAACUCUCGUUAAGGAACUCUGCAAAAUUGCCCCGUAACUUCGGGAGAAGGGGUGCCCCUGAGUGUGAGCAUACACGCGAUGUUAAGCGCUUGGGGGUCGCAGUGAAGAGGCUCAAGCAACUGUUUAACAAAAACACAGGUCUAUGCUAAGCUGUAAGGCGAUGUAUAUGGGCUGACACCUGCCCAGUGCCGGAAGGUUAAGAGGAGGAGUGAGAGCUCCGAAUUGAAGCCCCGGUGAACGGCGGCCGUAACUAUAACGGUCCUAAGGUAGCGAAAUUCCUUGUCGGGUAAGUUCCGACCUGCACGAAUGGUGU